rnacentral:rRNA from 1 species
ACACAUGCAAGUCGAGGGGCAGCAUGAACUUAGCUUGCUAAGUUUGAUGGCGACCGGCGCACGGGUGAGUAACACGUAUCCAACCUGCCGAUGACUCGGGGAUAGCCUUUCGAAAGAAAGAUUAAUACCCGAUGGCAUAGUUCUUCCGCAUGGUGGAACUAUUAAAGGAUUUCGGUCAUCGAUGGGGAUGCGUUCCAUUAGGUUGUUGGCGGGGUAACGGCCCACCAAGCCUUCGAUGGAUAGGGGUUCUGAGAGGAAGGUCCCCCACAUUGGAACUGAGACACGGUCCAAACUCCUACGGGAGGCAGCAGUGAGGAAUAUUGGUCAAUGGACGAGAGUCUGAACCAGCCAAGUAGCGUGAAGGAUGACUGCCCUAUGGGUUGUAAACUUCUUUUAUACGGGAAUAAAGUGAGGCACGUGUGCCUUUUUGUAUGUACCGUAUGAAUAAGGAUCGGCUAACUCCGUGCCAGCAGCCGCGGUAAUACGGAGGAUCCGAGCGUUAUCCGGAUUUAUUGGGUUUAAAGGGAGCGUAGGCGGACGCUUAAGUCAGUUGUGAAAGUUUGCGGCUCAACCGUAAAAUUGCAGUUGAUACUGGGUGUCUUGAGUACAGUAGAGGCAGGCGGAAUUCGUGGUGUAGCGGUGAAAUGCUUAGAUAUCACGAAGACUCCGAUUGCGAAGGCAGCCUGCUGGACUGUAA